rnacentral:rRNA from 1 species
CUUACGGGAGGCAGCAGUGGGGAAUCCAGCACAAUGGAGGAAACUAAGAAGCAGUGACGCCGCGUGAACGAUGAAGCCCUUCGGGAAAUAAAGUUGUUUAAUCAGGAACGAUAAUGACGGUACCUGGAGAAGAAGCUGCGGCUAACUACGUGCCAGCAGCCGCGGUAAUACGUAGGCAGCAAGCGUUGUUCGGAAUUAUUGGGCGUAAAGAGUAUGCAGGUGGUGUUGUAAGUCAGGUGUGAAAUCUCCCGGCUUAACCGGGAGGGUGCACUGAAGACUGCGAUGCUGGAGUAUGUGAGAGGGAAUCGGAAUUCCUGGUGUAGCGGUGAAAUGCGUAGAUAUCAGGAGGAACACCAAUGGUGUAGGCGGGUUCCUGGGCCAACACUGACACUGAGAUACGAAAGCGUGGGGAGCAAACAGGAUUAGAUACCCUGGUAGUCCACGCCCUAAACGAUGCCCACUAGGUGUGAGCCAUUCAGUUCGUUGGUACCGGAGCUAACGCGUUAAGUGUGCCGCCUGGGGAGUACGGUCGCAAGGUUGAAACUCAAAUGAAUUGACGG